UUGAAUCAAUUCAAUGUCAUCAACGUUUGCUCCAACAAGCAAAAGAAGGGAUCCUGGAACUGCAAAAUAUGAGAGUACAUUUGCUGCAAUUUGUAGCAAUGACAAACCUGGUGCAAUUACACACAGACCAUCCUCUUCAAUAAGUUCGUUAAAAACCUGCUGCUGGUAAGCAAGAGGCAAAUGAACCUUUGUUUCCAUAUUUAAUGGUGGUGUUAUUCGUAGAGAUUUUCCAAUUUGCAAUUUUGAUUUCUGAAAGCUGUUAAAUACUUUGAUGCGAAAAUUUUCCAAUUUGGAUGGAAUAAUCAACUCUAUUUCUAUUUCCGUUCACAAAUGUGUUAAAUAAAAAACAGUAGCAUGAGAUAGACUCCUUCUUAGGAAUUUAGGCGGAUCGUGAAGUUAAGAGACUCUCAAGGAUGAUGAAAGGAAGAAUCUGUACAAAACAAAAAUCCUAUAUAAGACAAUGAAUUUAAAAAUGAUUACCAACUGAUAAAAGUAUCCAAGGAGAACCAAAUACAAAUAUUUAACCUAAAGAUGAAAGAGUGAAUGGAAUACAGCAAUCAGUAAAAAUGAGCAACCAACUAUACAUACCAACUAGAGGUUAAACUAGUUUCAAUAUAUUGGGUAAAAUAAAUUACUUAAUAUACUCUUUAACCAUUGCUCAGUUUCGGGCAUAGUUCAUGCCUUAGCUUAAUUCUCCUUAAUUAGAUACUCUACAUUCAAUCUUUCCAUGUAUUCACGUUGGGGUAUCCCAUCGCUUGUAUUUGGACAACCAUAUUUUUUAAAUUUUCUUUCAAAAUGUAAGAUUUAUUUGCUGUCGGUUUCUAACUUCAUUACAUGCGUAUAACCAUUGCUC